rnacentral:rRNA from 1 species
AACCCCUCGCUGCCAGUUGCCAACGGGUAGGAGCCGGGCACUCUGGCGGGACUGCCAUCGACAAGAUGGAGGAAGGUGGGGGAUGACGUCAAGUCAUCAUGGCCCUUAUGUCCAGGGCGACACACGUGCUACAAUGGCCGGCACAGCGGGAAGCGAGGCAGUGAUGCCAAGCGGAUCCCUUAAAGCCGGUCUCAGUUCGGAUUGAAGUCUGCAACUCGACUUCAUGAAGCUGGAAUCGCUAGUAAUCGCAGAUCAGCCAAGCUGCGGUGAAUACGUUCCCGGGCCUU